GGGUCUGUCCGGGGGGCGAAAAAAAAGGACAAGAUCAUUCGCGAUGAUUGUUUUCCGCUGCUCCCGUGCCAAGAUGUUGUAUCACCCGAGUUUUAAACCGGAGCAUCUCUAUUUAUGAAGUUAAAUGUAGAGAUUGUCUGGCCAAAAAUUUGCUGGAUCUGGCAAGACCUAGGUGGCUCUAUGAGGUUGUGUUGCUAUUUAACCAGGUUGGGUGGGAGCUCGGAUUUUAGGAAAAGCAACAUAUGUUGUCUAUUCUGAUGGGGACUUGGGGGCCAAAAAAAGGUAGGAUCCAUCAGGCUUCCAGCGCUGGCUAGAUGUCUCUGAGAUGGUGCUGAGCAGGGAUGCACUGGCUUUGCAUUGCAAUCCGAGCAGCUGCACUUAUUCUCUAUUUAGUUAUUUUAAAAAAUGGGGAGGGGGCCCGAAAAAAAUGACCCAGGUGUUGGAGUCACAUUUUUGCAGUGCUGCUGCUCCAGCCCACAACAGGGUCUGAAUUUUUGUGUGCCCUAGGAGCUGUUACAUUCCCCCCCCCCCCCACACACACACACACAUACAGUACAGCAUGGGGCCAAAAUUUGCCAAGCUCCAUGUACUGGAUCCAGAGUUUUGCAGUGGGAGGCAUCAGCGUCCAGAAUUUUUUGCAGCAGUUUUUUGCUUGUUUUCUCUUUAGACAUUAGAAUUUGAGGGCAAAAUUUGGCUGGAUUCAGAAGAAUCCAUAUGCUGGGUCCAGGUUUUUGUAGUGCUUCUGUUCUGGAUGAUUUUUUUUUUUUUUUUUUGCAGUAGGCGUGUUUAGAUUGUUCUCUAUUUUGAGGAUACAAUUUGGAGAUUUGGGGGCUAAAGAUAUGCAGGACCCAAUUUUCCCCUGGGGGAAUACUUUGGAGUGCCAGUGCCUGCACACACAGGCAUCCACCCACGGCUUCUGGCCUCCUUCCAUGCACCACACCUAUGUCACAUCCUUAACACUCUCUUGAGAAAUGCACAACUCUCUCCAACAGACUGCAAAAGCAGAAGGCAACAAUGGAUCUGAAGGAGACUUUGAUGUCAUAAACCCAAGAUUAUGACUUCACGAUCAAGCAGCGAGAGAACCCAGGAUGAGAGAAGGAAAAUAGAACACAUUCAUCUUUGGAAACCAGCAAGGGGAAUCCAGAAAAUUAGACAAAAAAAUCUGAAUGUUUUUAAUUUCCCUCAAAAUGUCUUUGCUUCCAAGCUACUAUGCUGAUUGACAUCUGGUCUUUCUAGCUAUUCAAGUAGAAGCCAAUUGGGAUCAGAUUUAUCACUGGUGACAUCAAUAGAGUUUCACCAGAAUGACCUGGGACCUUUAUGCCUCUAGGGGGAAGAUACCUAGUGAUCUCAAAUGCAAGAGUCACAGUACUUUAUAUGCUUCUUCAUCUUCACCUACAUUAUGAAAGCUUGAUGUGUGCUUAUAUUAAUUAGCUGUUUUACCAAUGUAACAAUCUUUUAAAAUACAUUUACAUUAUCAGCAUGCCAUGGGGCCUAAUUUGCCACCCAUACGCUCGUUGAAUAAUACCUUAUUCUGUGAAUAGUUUGAAUGGACUACUACACAGGAAUAGAAGUGGCAAAAUUUGGCCCAAAGUUAACUUCAGGAACAAUCUGAUUGUAAUUAACAACAAAUGUUUGGUUUUAAUUUUGUUGUUGAUUUUUGAUAUUAGUGUUAUUUAUUCUUGUACUGCAGGAACACCUAGGAACUUCAGUCAUGAGCCAGGCCCCCCUCAUGCUGGGCAUUAUACAAACAGAACACAGAUAUGGUGUCUGCCUCAAAUAGUUUACAAUGAUAUACUGAGAAUUUGACCUUUUUUUCCCCCUUUGGCUGGAUCUUAAAUGGAGAAAAUGCGACUUUGUUUUUAUAUUAAACAAAAAAAAGUACAACUAGAUUGACAACUUGCAUGUCAGGGUUUUACCUGAUGCAGUUUGAGACAGCUGAUAUGUUACCACCCCUCUUGCAAUGAGAUUUAUAAUGGAAAUGCUGACAAGACACCUAUGUUUGGAGACGGCACCAUGCACUGCUUUAAAAACUUGUUAUGAAUGUUAAUUGGUUAUCUGAAGAGUUUUCUUUUUCCAGGUGUAGGCAGCCCAGGACACAGCCUCGGUAAUACAAUGUAACGAAUCCAUGAAAACACAGGAUGCCUAUUUCUAGGGCAUGGGCAUUGCCUCAACCUACUUCACUUAUGCUGAUGUUCCUCCCAGCUCAGCAUUUGGAACCCAACAUUCUGCAUUGAACAGUUCCACUCUGCACAUUCUCUACUGGCGCAUUUGGCUAUUCAGUGGCACAAUCGGGAUUUGCACAUGUUGAGGAUCCUGAUCCAACGUCAAUAGAGACCAGCGCAGAGAUUUCUGUUGGCUUUGGCCGCUGACCGACAAAUGAUCAAAUCUGUGCAAGUAACUGUUUUGUACUCAGUAGAAAGUGGUGGUGCGUCAUUUUCCCAGGUAAUGCACAAAUCAAAAUGAUGAGGGACCCUUAGUAUAAGAUUUCCUGUCCCUUUCAUUAGUAUUGUAGCCUCCAAAAAGAACAAACUACAUAAAAUGCACGAGUGAAGUCGGUACAAACUAAAAUUUCAUACUGAUAAUGACUUAUGCUGUUCUAUAUA